AUGGAGAUGUGGUCCCAUGAUGGUGUCUGGGAGAUGGUGUCAGGAUGGAGAUGUGGUCCCGCGAUGGUGUUUGGAGAUGGUGUCAGGUGGAGACGUGGUCCCGUGAUGGUGUCUGGGAGAUGGAUUCAGGGUGGAGACAUGGUCCCACGAUGCAGUCUGGGAGAUGGUGUCAGGUGGAGAUGUGGUCCCACGAUGGUGCCUGGGAGAUGGUGUCAGGAUGGAGACGUAGUCCCAUUAUGGUGUCUGGGAGAUGGUGUCAGGAUGGAGACGUGGUCCCGUGAUGGUGUCUGGAUGGAGCCAUGGUCCUGUGAUGGUGUCUGGGAGAUGGUGUCAGGAUGGAGACGUGGUCCCGUGAUGGUGUCUGGAGGGAGCCAUGGUCCUGUGAUGGUGUCUGGGAGAUGGUGUCAGGAUGGAGACGUGGUCCCAUUAUGGUGCCUUGGAGAUGGUGUCAGGGUGGAGACAUGGUCCCGCGAUGGUGUCUGGGAGAUGGUGUCAGGUGGAGACGUGGUCCUGCGAUGGUGCCACCUGGGAGAUGGUGUCAGAAUGGAGAUCUGGUCCCACGAUGGUGCCUGGGAGAUGGUGUCAGGAUGGAGACGUGGUCCCAUGAUAGUGUCUGUGAGAUGGUGUCAGGGGGGAGACAUGGUCCCUGAAUGGUAUAUGGGAGAUGGUGUCAGGGGGAGACGUGGUCCUCCGAUGGUGCCUCCUGGGAGAUGGUUUCAGGUGGAGACGUGGUCCCGUGAUGGUGCCUGGGAGAUGGUGUCAGGGUGGAGACGUGGUCCCGCGAUGGUGUCUGGAAGAUGGUUUCAGGUGGAGAUGUGGUCCCGUGAUGUUGUCUGGAAGAUGGUGUCAGGUGGAGACCUGGUUCCGCGAAGGUGCCACCUGGGAGAUGGUGUCAGGUGCAGACAUGGUCCCGUGAUGUUGUCUGGGAGAUGGUGUCAGGGUGGAGACAUGGUUCCACGAUGGUGCCACCUGAGAGAUGGUGUCAGGUGCAGACGUGGUCCCAUGAUGGUGUCUGGGAGAUGGUGUCAGGGUGGAGACGUGGUCCCGCGAUGGUGUCUGGAAGAUGGUUCAGGUGGAGAUGUGG
rnacentral:lncRNA from 1 species